AAUGUUGAAGAUUUGAGCCAUA
rnacentral:siRNA from 1 species